rnacentral:lncRNA from 1 species
AUUUAUAAAAUUUUAAAAAUUUGAAUAAAAUAGUCCGAAUCCAGUUUUAUUUUUAUAAAUCAGAAUAAAAUACAAAUUUUUAGAUAAUAUUUAUUAUUCGCGAAUAAUUUGCGUAUACUGAACUAUUCGACCAAAAAAAUACAUAGAAUUUUUGGAUAAAAUUUUUUUCUCCAUUAUUUACGAAUUAUUAUCAAAUUAUUCGUAAAUUAUUGAAAUAAUUUUUUGAACUUUCGAAAUUUGUGGAUUAUGAAAAAGAUAAAGAUGGAGGCGACAAUAAAUUUUUCUUUUUUUUUCUAUUUUAUUUAAUAGCUAAAUUUUUUAUCCUAAAUUUUUAAUAGUGGAACAUAUAAUUUUCGUAUAUAUCGCGUAUUCGAAUAAUUACGAAGCUUUUUUUAAACUGUAUUUUUCAACAAAUUUAAAAAUUAGGAGACAUUUUAUUCAUAUUAUAUUCAUAACGAACUUUUGCUGAAUCAGAAUUAACUAACUAUGUUGGCUACUAGUUUUUAAAAUCGAUGAUAAUGAUGACAUUAGCUGAUUAGCAUAUCCACACUUACUAUAUGUAGAUCGAUUUUAAGAAAAUUAGUUAUUGAUAAAAUUAUAUAAAAUUUACUUGAACUAUAAAUUAUUUUGAAUUUCACAAUAGAAUAUUUUAAAUUUUUUAUUUUUACCCACUAAUCUCUUAAUUUGUUUGACUUGAGACCGUCAACAGUAAUUUGACUGCAAAACUGAAGAUAUUUUUUAUUUUAAUAAAUUUAGAGUUGUCAAAAUCAUUUAAAAUAUGCAAACUAAAUAUAUAAAGAUAAAGGACACAUUCGAAUUUUGAACUCAAAAUAAUGUUGACCAAUUAAAAUCAAACAAAUCGAAAGAUUGUAUGAUAAAAUCAAAAUUUUAAAAGAUUAGACAAUCGUAUUGAAGAAGCUCCAUAGUUUAAGUUUUGUACGUUUUUAUCUUGGUUAUUUUGUAGAUAAUAUAUGUUGAUUAUAUUACAAUAUAGAGAGAACGAGAAUUGAGUUAAAGAGUACUUUUACAUUAUAUUUCAGGGACAUUUGUAUCGUCGUUUGAGGUUGUUAAACAUAAUAUAUAGUAUGUAAACUUCAUAAAAUAAUUAAAUUUUAUAAUUCUAAAAUAUUAUGUAUCUACUGUCGACUAAUGUUACUGCUAAUAAUUUUUAAUGACAAAUAUAUGAUAUAUUUGAUACCACUCAAAUUAGUCACUACAAAUGAAAUUUAAUUUCUAAUAAUCUAUUUGCGUAGAUCAUAUUUAAUAUGAAAUUUAAUUUCUAAUGAUCUAUUUGUGUAGAUCAUAUUUAAUAAUUUUAAUGGUGAACACGAGAACAUGGUAGAGCUAUUUAAUCGAAAUGA